rnacentral:rRNA from 1 species
UCCUGGGCUCAGGAUGAACGCUAGCGGCAGGCUUAAUACAUGCAAGUCGUGGGGCAGCAUGAGUAGCAAUACUUGAUGGCGACCGGCAAACGGGUGAGGAACACGUACACAACCUUCCUUCAAGCGGGGAAUAGCCCAGAGAAAUUUGGAUUAAUACCCCAUAAUAUAUUUGAUAAGGCAUCUUAUUAAUAUUAAAGCUUCGGCACUUGAUGAUGGGUGUGCGGCUGAUUAGAUAGUUGGCGGGGUAACGGCCCACCAAGUCUACGAUCAGUAGCUGAUGUGAGAGCAUGAUCAGCCACACGGGCACUGAGACACGGGCCCGACUCCUACGGGAGGCAGCAGUAAGGAAUAUUGGACAAUGGACGAAAGUCUGAUCCAGCCAUGCCGCGUGAAGGAUUAAGGUCCUCUGGAUUGUAAACUUCUUUUAUAUGGGACGAAAAAAGGGCAUUCUUGUUCACUUGACGGUACCAUAUGAAUAAGCACCGGCUAACUCCGUG